AGAGUUUGAUCCUGGCUCAGGAUGAACGCUGGCGGCGUGCCUAACACAUGCAAGUCGAACGGGGUAUAUAAGCGGAAGUUUACGGAUGGAAGGUUAUAUACUUAGUGGCGGACGGGUGAGUAACGCGUGGGCAACCUGCCCCGUGCCGGGGGAUACCGCCUGGAAACAGGCGCUAAUACCGCAUAAGCGCAUACAGCCGCAUGGGUGUAUGCGGAAAGCUCCGGCGGCACGGGAUGGGCCCGCGCCCGAUUAGCCAGUUGGCGGGGUAACGGCCCACCAAAGCGACGAUCGGUAGCCGGCCUGAGAGGGCGGACGGCCACAUUGGGACUGAGACACGGCCCAAACUCCUACGGGAGGCAGCAGUGGGGAAUAUUGCACAAUGGGGGAAACCCUGAUGCAGCAACGCCGCGUGGGUGAAGGAGCGUUUCGGCGCGUAAAGCCCUGUCAGCGGGGAAGAAGAAAGACGGUACCCGACCAAGAAGCCCCGGCUAACUACGUG
rnacentral:rRNA from 1 species